AUCUACGUCCUUCUUUCUUGUUUCUACAAAAAACAUGGGGACUCUUUCUUGAUUGUACUUUGGUAAUAUCUAGAGAAAUUUUGAAAUUGAAUUUAGAAGAGUGAUUUGAAUGAAAGUAGUAGAUCAUCUUGAUACGAGUUUGUGGGCUCAAAUGAAUUGUAAAUCGGAGUUCGGACGAGAGAGAGAUAACCGAAACAAGAAAGUCGAGAUUUUUGGAUUUUUACGAAUUUUCAGGAUUUUAUCAGUAUUUACGAGUUCUAUAUUGUAUUUAUCCGUUGCGUCUCUAUCAGUAUCAGUUGCAACAUUGGCUCCACAAGCUGAGCACAUAAACUGCGCACGGCAUAUAUAUAUGAAUUGGAAGAAGGAUCAUAAGGACCCAAACCCUUAAGAAUCUCUUCUUCAGGGCAGUAUAUGCAACGCACGAAGCUGAGUUCAAGCAUACAAUGCAGGAAUUGAAGCAAGAGAGUGUGGCAGCCUAUGAAGAUUUCAUGUCAAGAGACACAAACAAGUUCUGUAAGGCCUUUAUCUCUACAAACCCCAAAAGUGACAGUGUGGACAACAAUAUAAGUGAGUGUUUUAAUGGCUACAUAUUGAAUGUUAGGGGUAAGCAUGUGAUCCACAUGUUAGAGGAAAUAAGGUCUUCUUUGAUGGUUAGGCAGGUUCAGAAAUUUAAGUCUAUGUCAUGUGUUACCACUAAACUGACUCCUAAUGUUUGUAAGUUGUUGGAGAGAAGUUUGAAUGCUAGUGCAUAUUGCAUUGCACUUCCAGCCAUGCAUGAUAGUUUUUAGGUCCACUACGAGGGUGACACCUUCGUGGUCCAUGUAAAAACAAAUGCCAAUAGGACGAACAAGUGUUCAUGUAGGGAAUGGGAUUUAACUGGAAUCCCUUGUAAGCAUGCAAUUUCUGCAAUUAGAUACAUGGAGCAUGACCCAACAGAAUUUGUCUCAAACUACUAUACUGUGGAAACAUAGCUGGCUGGCUAUGAAUUUGGGAUAAAACCUAUAGUUGGCACGAACAUGUGGCCCGAAGUUGAGGGCGAGGUUUGUGAAACCACCACCUAAGACCAAGAUACCUGGUCGGCCAAAGAAGAAGAGGGUUAGGGCGCCUUACGAGAAAGACAGGAGAAUGUCGAAGCAUGGAGUUGUCAUCUCAUGCAGUAAAUGCAAACAACAAAGGCAAAAUAAGAGAAAAUGUACAAAUGCAGCUGUCGAAGAGCCGAAGGGUGACAAGGUUAGACUAUCUAGAUAUCCAACAUGAUUUCAGUAUAUUUGAACAUUAAUCUCUGAAUCUAUGAAAUUCUUAUGUUUACUUUCCAAAAGCGGAGGAGAGGAAGACCUUCAAAGGGGGAUGGAACUCGAAAAGGAAGCAAAGACAAGCAAAAGUCCAAAGAAGAAGAAAGUCCAGCCACUCAAUCAAAAAAAUGAUCAGGUUCUGGCAAUCAAUCAAAGUUAAGCAAAAAGGGUAGCUCAACGCAAUUCAAGGGUAGAGGGGCUGCUUUGAAAGGCCUUGGGGUCUACGUCAACGAGAAAACGGGGAAUACAUUCUACCAUGGUUCAAGCACAUCAAAGAAAGCAUUUUAAAUGCGCAACUUUAAGAAACCAAGCACGCUAGACAAAGCUCGGCACCUGAGAAAAGUAGUGUCACUGAAGUUGCAACAACCCAAGAAAGUAGGAAUGAAGAAGGAUCAGGCCAGCCUCACUAAAAGAAAGAAACUUUAGAAGUAGUUAUGGUGUAAUGAAUUGUUGUCUAUCCAUUUGAAGAACAACUUUUUUUUUUUUUUGAAAUUUUAAUGGUUUAUUAGUGUCUAGAUAUGAAACAAACAUCUUUUGCAUCAUCAUGAAUCAUGUAAAGUGAAUUAUACAGUGUUUUGACCUUGUCAUUUUGAAAGUAAUGAAUGUCAGUGGUUC